rnacentral:rRNA from 1 species
AUUCCAGCUCCAAUAGCGUAUAUUAAAGUUGUUGCGGUUAAAAAGCUCGUAGUUGGAGUUCUGCCAGGUGGCGCUCGUCCGCCCAAGUGGUGUGUACAGGGCGUGCAUCUGGCCCUUUCAAGGGGAACGUGUCUGCACUUCAUUGUGUGGUGCGAGAUCCUUGACUUUUACUUUGAGGAAAUAAGAGUGUUCCAAGCAGGCUCUCGUCGUGCAUAGCUCAGCAUGGAAUAAUAGCAUUGGACUUCGUUUCUACGCUGUUGGUUGCAAGAAGCGAGGUAAUGAUGAAGAGGGAUAGUUGGUGGUAUUCGUAUUCCGUUGUCAGAGGUGAAAUUCUUGGAUUUACGGAAGACGAACUACUGCGAAAGCAUUUACCAAGGAUGUUUUCAUUA